rnacentral:rRNA from 1 species
AAUGAACGCUGGCGGCGUGCCUUACACAUGCAAGUCGGAUGUGUCGCAAGACACAUGGCAGACGGGUGAGUAACACGUGGGAAACUUACCUCUUAGUGGGGAAUAACGCUCCGAAAGGAGCGGUAAUACCGCAUGAGACCUAUCGCUGGGAUGCGAUAGAUGAAAGCUGGGGAUCGUAAGACCUAGCGCUGAGAGAGAGUCCUGCGUCUGAUUAGUUAGUUGGUGAGGUAACGGCUCACCAAGACUUCGA